rnacentral:rRNA from 1 species
UACGGAGGGUGCAAGCGUUAAUCGGAAUUACUGGGCGUAAAGCGCACGCAGGCGGUCUGUCAAGUCGGAUGUGAAAUCCCCGGGCUCAACCUGGGAACUGCAUUCGAAACUGGCAGGCUUGAGUCUCGUAGAGGGGGGUAGAAUUCCAGGUGUAGCAGUGAAAUGCGUAGAGAUGUGGAGGAACACCGAUGGCGAAGGCAGCCCCCUGGGCCGAUACUGACGCUCAUGCACGAAAGCGUGGGUAGCAAACAGG